rnacentral:rRNA from 1 species
UACGAAGGGGGCUAGCGUUGUUCGGAAUUACUGGGCGUAAAGCGCACGUAGGCGGGUUGCUAAGUCAGGGGUGAAAUCCUGGAGCUCAACUCCAGAACUGCCUUUGAUACUGGCAACCUAGAGACUGGAAGAGGUUAGUGGAAUUCCCAGUGUAGAGGUGAAAUUCGUAGAUAUUGGGAAGAACACCAGUGGCGAAGGCGGCUAACUGGUCCAGCACUGACGCUGAGGUGCGAAAGCGUGGGGAGCAAACAGG